AAAGCGUGCGCAGGCGGUUAUGUAAGACAGAUGUGAAAUCCCCGGGCUCAACCUGGGAACUGCAUUAGUGACUGCAUGGCUAGAGUACGGUAGAGGGGGAUGGAAUUCCGCGUGUAGCAGUGAAAUGCGUAGAUAUGCGGAGGAACACCGAUGGCGAAGGCAAUCCCCUGGACCUGUACUGACGCUCAUGCACGAAAGCGUGGGGAGCAAACAGGAUAAGAUACCCCUGU
rnacentral:rRNA from 1 species